CCUACGGGUCGCAGCAGUGGGGAAUAUUGCACAAUGGGCGCAAGCCUGAUGCAGCCAUGCCGCGUGUAUGAAGAAGGCCUUCGGGUUGUAAAGUACUUUCAGCGAGGAGGAAGGUGUUGAGGUUAAUAACCUCAGCAAUUGACGUUACUCGCAGAAGAAGCACCGGCUAACUCCGUGCCAGCAGCCGCGGUAAUACGGAGGGUGCAAGCGUUAAUCGGAAUUACUGGGCGUAAAGCGCACGCAGGCGGUCUGUCAAGUCGGAUGUGAAAUCCCCGGGCUCAACCUGGGAACUGCAUCCGAAACUGGCAGGCUAGAGUCUUGUAGAGGGGGGUAGAAUUCCAGGUGUAGCGGUGAAAUGCGUAGAGAUCUGGAGGAAUACCGGUGGCGAAGGCGGCCCCCUGGACAAAGACUGACGCUCAGGUGCGAAAGCGUGGGGAGCAAACAGGAUUAGAUACCCCAGUAGUC
rnacentral:rRNA from 1 species